rnacentral:rRNA from 1 species
UACAGAGGGUGCGAGCGUUAAUCGGAAUUACUGGGCGUAAAGCGCGUGUAGGCGGUCUCAUAAGUCGGGUGUGAAAGCCCCGGGCUCAACCCGGGAAGUGCACUCGAAACUGCGAGGCUAGAGUAUCGGAGAGGUUGGUGGAAUUCUCGGUGUAGAGGUGAAAUUCGUAGAUAUCGAGAGGAACACCGGCGGCGAAGGCGGCCAACUGGACGAAUACUGACGCUGAGACUCGAAAGCGUGGGGAGCAAACAGG